CAUAUAGCCUUCUCAGUCAGUUGGAUCUCUUUGGCUCUUCAGUGCACGCAGCAUGUGAUCGCGUUGGCUGUAGUGUGUUGAUUGUGGGUCAUUACUAGAUUGCUCGGAAGAAGUACCGAAGAUACCGUGAAGUGCAUUUCGGAACUUUGGAAUAAGCUAAUUUUUCGCAGGACUUCAGUAAUCAUUUAUUAUCAUCUCAAACAUUUUUCAAGUAGUCUAACAGUGUAGUGAAGAUUUUUUUCACUUCGAUUGGCCAGUUUUCCCAUAAUUUGAGGUUUUAGUAACAGAUGUUCGCCACACAAAAAUUUAUUUAGCGUUUCUGUGCAAUAGUGAGCUAAAAAGUGGUUUUACGUUUGGGACUGAGAUUCAACAGUUUUCGUUCGUGCACUAGAAGAAAAAGGCAACCUUUGGAAAGUUUCCGGCGAUAAAAACCGAUAAAUACGCGAUUAAAUUUGACACAGUGAAUACAGAUUGGAAUUAUCCCACAGCGCAUAGUUUUUAAUUAAGCAACCAUUACAAACUUAGUACAUGUAGACAAUUAAAUAAACCAAAAAUCACAAAAAGAACACUUCAUAAAAAAUAGAUAGUAAUUUUUAUUUGAACCCUCCUUUUUAGAAUUUAAUGAACCUUUCUAAAUUACAACAAUGAAAAUGAAUGGUAAUUGUCUCUAAUUUAUUCAUUUUACCAUCACCGAAUUAAUAAAAUCUAUUUGAAGUAAA